GGUGGGCGCUAGUUAUGGGGACCUUUCCACGGUUGUGAGACGCAGCUAACGCAUUAAGGGCCCCGCCUGGGGAGUACGAUUGCAAGGUUAAACUCAAAGGGAAUUAGGGGGGCCCCGCACAAGCAGCGGGGCAUGGGGCUUAAUUCGACGCAACGCGAAGAGCCUUACCAAGGCUUGACAUAUACAGGAAUAUGGCAGGAGAUGUCAUAGCCGCAAGGUCUGUAUACAGGUGGUGCAUGGUGGUGGUCAGCUCGUAUCGUGAGAUGUUGGAUUAAGUCCCGCAACGAGCGCAACCCUCGUUCUGUGUUGCCAGCAUUAAGGGGGGAGUCACAGGAGACUGCCGGGGUUAACUCGGAGGAAGGUGGGAAGGACGUCAAAUCAUCAUGCCCCUUAUGUCUUGGGCUGCACGCAUGCUACAAUGGCUGGUACAAACGGCUGCGAUACCGCAAGGUGGAGCGAAUCCGAUAAAGCCAGUCUCAGUUCGGAUUGGGGUCUGCAACUCGACCCCAUGAAGUCGGAGUUGCUAGUAAUCGUAGAUCAGCAACGCUACGGGGAAUACGUUCCCGGGGCUUGUACACACCGCCCGUCACAUCACGAAAGUCGGUAACACCCAAAGUCAGUGGCCCAACCGUAAGGAAGGAGCUCCAAAGGUGGGAUCGGUGAUUGGGAUGAAGUCGUAACAAGGUA
rnacentral:rRNA from 1 species